GAACUUGUCGUUCAUUGUAAUAAUUCUAGGAUACCACGUAAUUUAUUUGGUCUUCAGGAAGAGAAUGUUCCUGCGAACAGAUUGACGGAAUACUAAUCUCGGUCGGAAUACUAAGGAACGAUUCGACUAUCCAUGAGAAGAAUUACUCCACUUUCAUCACAUCGCUAUUGCUAGGAACUUUGCUUAUUUCAGAAAAAAAAACACGUCUGCAAAGAAGAAAAGAAGGUCUACGAUAGAAUGUAUCGACAAGGAAAUUCGACCAAAAUAUCAAGAAACAGAAUCGAGAAUCAGGAAUAUUCCAUAAAGAAUUGUUCUACGUGCGGAUUAAACAUAAGGCGAAAUUUUAUAUCAUACUUACAUCUACUAUACUUCUUAAUCAACUGGGCCUUGAUAAAUGGACAUAAUUAUCCUAUUGUAAUCAUUAAUGUAUAUUACGCACGUACAAUCGAUUUUUUAUGAUAGAAAACGUGCGGAUUAAUGGCGUGUCAUCAUGUUGGAAUACCAUGAUUUUAUAACAUCUCCAAAAUUAUGGUUUUGCUUCGACUUUCAACAGUAAACUUCUGCGAUAAUGCCCGUGAUCCAGUUAUAGAGAUAAAACCCGAGCGAAAAUUGCAGUGGAAGGAUUACCUUAAUUCACGCUGCUACCGACAUAAACGAGACAAUAUGUAUAUCAUUACAAUUACAAUCUAUUGUAACACGCGUCGCUAUAAUCCUAGAUUAUUCCGAUUUCAUCAUUUAGAAAACAUCGUCGUCGGAGUAUGGUUCCCUAACAACGUCUCGAACAUUAUGGCUUCGGUAUGCUUUCUUCUAGAUGGACGAAAGAAAAUCGUCCGGACUCAUGAAGGGUCUCUUAAAAGACCGUGCCAAGCACGUCGCGCGACCGUGUAUGACUCAUCCCAGACGAAAAUCUCACGCGCGGGACAAGCGCGAGACAUUGCGCAAUACUGUAUUUUUAUCCGUUGCAUCGUCGACAAAUUCUCCUAUCGGCAAACGACAAAUAAGGGAAAUGGGACACCUUCUCACGAUGCAUAUCUAUCGACAAAGGGCUCAUAACGGGAGCACGUUGCGCGCGGGAAAGAUGAGAUUUAUUUAAGUUUCAUUUCAUGACGAAUGUUUGAUGGAGAAACUACAGUGGAAUGAAUCAAAUGUGGAUUUAAUUUCGCUUCCUUAAUCUGUAUGGGACGCUACCCGAAAUUAAUUCAUUAUAUAUUGAUAUAUAAUAUAUCAGUAUAAUGUUUUACUGGCAAUCCGAAAAUGCAGGUACUCUGUACGCAAGCUGAUCUUAAUAAUGUUCUAUAACGAGGGAAAAUGCGCAA